CAUAUAUUUAGAGAGUCACGACACUCCCAUAGAGAUCCAUUAUACGAUUUUACUUCCGGGUACUUCCGGGUUAUGGAGCCUUGGAUAGUUACAAACAUCGCAUUUGACAUGGCGGACACCAUUCAUUUGAACGGCAGGCUGUCAAGUAUAUUCGGAGCUCAUGGCAUGAGGGAAGGUUGCAGUGCAAACUCAUAGCCUUUCUUUCCAGCUGCUCCACAACAUUGGAGGAUUCCAUGAGGGAAUCAUUCGUUGCCAAACGGAACAGAUGCUCGACAUCCUUUAAGAGAGUGAAGACCUCAUCCGAUGGCCGGUGCUUCAACCAAUGCACACUGGCAUUGGUUGCAGAGUGAGAAGCUGAUGACCCUCUUCACUAUGCAUCCUGCCAGAUGUUGCCAUUUUGCCUGACAGCGUGGUCCCUGGUGCAUCUGGGCCUAGUGUUGUGGCGCCACCACUGGUUCCUGAUUGGUCGGCACCCGGCUCAUCCACCCCUGGAUCACCUGGCCUGGAUACGUCAUUGUCAUUGUGCUCACUUUCGCCCAACCUUCCCACCUCAAUUUCUCCCUGAAUGUCUGUAACAAUAACAAGGCAUUCUUAAUUUUAUAUGCAGUCAGUGUUUUUACAUUUGCACCUAUUGUCAUCUCUAAAGUAAAGGUACACUACACUCCUAAAGGGAAAAAAAAAAAAUAACGGACAUUACUGUUACAUGAAUCAAAUCAUCUGCCACAAUCAGAAACUGCUAUGGCAUUGCCAUGUGUCAACAGUCUGGUGAUAUCAUGGAGCUGGUUCUGCUUUGCUGUUGUAUCCACCAGAAAUGUUUAGUUAUAGGUGAAAAUUAAAUGCAUAAAUAAAGCAAAAUUAUGAAGUAACUAACAAUGAAGUAGAUCGAAAUUUUGUGUGUAAAUCCCAGGACAAUUCCUGACCUCUUGUAUUUGAAGCUGAAUGUAUUAAUAUGAAAAAUGUAAUUAUAUUAUUAGGAGUGUAGUUUAUCCUUGAAUUACUUGGCAUGGGCAAUGUUGUUGACAGCUGGUCUGUAUCAUACCCAAGUUUAACCCCAAGUUUCCUCCUCUUUGGCUUCGAACGAUGAAUGAAAAUGGUUGGGACAGCAUCUGGCCUCAAUUUUAAUGUGUGCCCUACUUUGGUUGGCGUAAACUGGUCCUCCUCAAAGUGUUCCUGAUGUUUGGUUCGCAAGAUCAGUUUCCAUUCUACUUAAAAUUUACAUUUUUUUUAAAAAGUCAUAAUACCGUGACUUACAUGACAGAGUUUAUAGUUGUUGCUGGCCUCCUUCAAUUUCAGAUUUUUACGGCUUACCAUUGCCAGCCAUCGUUUCUGCCGGUCUUUGUCCUUAGGGAAACCAUACAUUCGGUAGCCCUUUUCGGACCGAUUGGUGCAUCCAAAAGCUGCACAACCAACCAUCACGAUCUCUAAAAUGUUACGUGUGAGCACUGAAUCAUGACACCAAUUUUACCUAUUUAAUAAAAAAAUAUUACUGUAAUAUUAAAUAUUUUCUUUAUCAAAGGGUAAUACGUUGUGUAAUAUAUUACCACAGGUAAGUGUAUCAAGAAAAUCUGGGCAU